AGUGGCGGACGGGUGAGUAACGCGUGGGUAACCUGCCUCAUACAGGGGGAUAACAGUUAGAAAUGACUGCUAAUACCGCAUAAGACCACAGCACCGCAUGGUGCAGGGGUAAAAACUCCGGUGGUAUGAGAUGGACCCGCGUCUGAUUAGGUAGUUGGUGGGGUAACGGCCUACCAAGCCGACGAUCAGUAGCCGACCUGAGAGGGUGACCGGCCACACUGGGACUGAGACACGGUCCAA
rnacentral:rRNA from 1 species